rnacentral:rRNA from 1 species
UGCUGGGAUGUGAUGGGGAGCGAAAUUUAGUAGCGAAGUAGCUGAUUUCACACUGUCAAGAAAAGUCUCUAUCGAGGUUAAAGGUACCCGUACCGCAAACCGACACAGGUGGGUGAGGAGAGUAUCCUAAGGCCAGCGAGAGAACUGUUGUUAAGGAACUCGGCAAAAUGACCCCGUAACUUAGGGAUAAGGGGUGCCACCAUCAGGUGGCCGCAGAGAAUAGGCCCAAGCGACUGUUUACCAAAAACAUAGGUUUCUGCUAAGUCGCAAGACGAUGUAUAGGAGCUGACGCCUGCCCGGUGCUGGAAGGUUAAGGGGA